rnacentral:rRNA from 1 species
CCGUAGAGAGUUUGUAGUCCUCGGCGUCAGGAGUGAACGCUGGCGGCGUGCCUAAUACAUGCAAGUCGAACGCGGGCGACUUGUGCCCGAGUGGCGAACGGUGAGUAUACAUAAGUAACCUGGCGUUUACAGGGGGAUAACUGCUGGAAACGGCAGCUAAGACCGCAUAGGUAGGGACACUGCAUGGUGACCGUAUUAAAAGUGCUGCAAGGCACUGGUAGAGGAUGGACUUAUGGCGCAUUAGCUGGUUGGUGAGGUAACGGCUCACCAAGGCGACGAUGCGUAGCCGACCUGAGAGGGUGACCGGCCACACUGGGACUGAGACAUGGCCCAGACUCCUACGGGAGGCAGCAGUAGGGAAUUUUCGGCAAUGGGGGAACCCGUGACCGAGCAACGCCGCGUGAAGGAAGAAGGAAUUCGUUCUGUAAACUUCUGUUAUAAAGGAAGAAAGACGGAUGGAGGAAAUGACAUCCGAGUGACGGUACUUUAUGAGAAAGCCACGGCUAACUACGUG